rnacentral:rRNA from 1 species
GAGAUAGCUGGUUCUCCCCGAAAGCUAUUUAGGUAGCGCCUCGGACGAAUACUACUGGGGGUAGAGCACUGUUUGGGCUAGGGGGUCAUCCCGACUUACCAACCCCAUGCAAACUCCGAAUACCAGUAAGUACUAUCCGGGAGACACACGGCGGGUGCUAACGUCCGUCGUGAAGAGGGAAACAACCCAGACCGCCGGCUAAGGUCCCAAAGUUCUGGUUAAGUGGGAAACGAUGUGGGAAGGCUCAGACAGCUAGGAUGUUGGC